UUAUGGACUGUGAAUGGGGGUGCAAACAGCAGCGAUAGCACUUAGGCUUGUUAUGCAAGCCCAAAGGUAAACAAUACACGGAUCGCUCAUCUCCCUCACGUUCUCUCUGGGGUUCAUCGAAGAGAAGCUGCGCCGGUUCGUCACCGACGGCGGCGAUUCAAAAAUCGCCCACACUCUCAUAUCUCCGAUGUUAACUGAAACGCAACGCCUCUCCACCUAGACCAAACGAAUCACCAAUGUGCGAUUCCUACGUGGAUCGAAUCGAUCGUCAAAUCAGAACAAGGAAAUGGAAUCGCGUACACUUCUCACCACAGCAAAAAGAAUCGAUCAAUACGAAGGGAAGAGAAAGCCUACCAGUGGAAAAGACGGUGUUGGAUCUAGAGUAAUCAACAAUUCGCGAUGAACUACGGCUCAAUGCUACCGCUACCGCUACCGCUACCGCUUCAAUGACGACUCAUGAUUCUCUUCUUAUUGUGGCAUUGCUUUGGUUAACUAUUGUGAAGCCAUUCACUUUUCCGGUGAUUCACAGAGUCGCGGCGAUAUCGUUUCGCCGAAGAAUUGAAGAAGGAACAAAGGUUGCAGUGUGCGAUCCGUUAGCGGCAAAGUGAGAGAUAGAGGAAGCCACGAACGGUUGUGCCGAUGAGUUCGUUAUGAUAAGUGAAGUCUAUUAGGGAUGGUGGUUACAACGGCGAUCGGUAAGCAUUGAAUCGCGGCGGAGACGGUGGCGUAAUUUCAACGGAGGCAAUGGAGGUUGGAGUAUGAACUGUAGCGGAUUUUUUCCAUGCAGAACUUUCGUCGCAAGCUCAAGAGUUUAUAUAGAACUCUCAAUUGGUAGUUGGAUCCAUCUUUGUCGUUUCUGCAUUUCCUUGUCGUUUUCAAUUUCUGUUAUGGCUUCAUGUCAUUUUGGAUUGCAAAAUUGUGCGUUUGACACCGGCUUGGCUUGGACGUGUUCUGCAGGUUGAAGUCUUAUGCGUUCGAUACCGGCUUGGCUUGGACGUUACAUUUGCGUUGCCAUUUAUGCUGAAGCUCGUGUUGGCUGUUUUGCUGAUAAUCCGUAGCAGCUUAUUGUCAUUUACGGUAGCAGCUUUUUGCAUUUGGCUUGUGAUGGUGAGCUUACCAUUGUGCUACAGUUGGUCUGUUUGGCUUAUACUGCAGCAUUUUAAUUACUGCAACGUGAUUUUUUUCUUUUUGCUUUUCGAUUAAUGGACAAUUGGUUCAAAAUGGAUUUGGCUCAUUGUAAAUGGAUUGAUAUAGAUAUGGAUAUUAAAUUGGAUUAUUGGAUAAUUGAUUUUUAUAUGGGUAAUUGAA